UCUGGUUCUGUAAACUGACGCUGAGGCUCGAAAAGUGUGGGGAGCAAACAGGAUUUAGAUUACCCUUGGUAGUCCACGCCGUAAAACGAUGAGUGCUAAGUGUUGGAGGGUUUCCGCCCUUUCAGUGCUGCAGCUAACGCAUUAAGCACUCCGCCUGGGGAGUACGACCGCAAGGUUGAAACUCAAAGGAAUUGACGGGGGCCCGCACAAGCGGUGGAGCAUGUGGUUUAAUUCGAAGCAACGCGAAGAACCUUACCAGGUCUUGACAUCCUUUGACCACUCUAGAGAUAGAGCUUCCCCUUCGGGGGCAAAGUGACAGGUGGUGCAUGGUUGUCGUCAGCUCGUGUCGUGAGAUGUUGGGUUAAGUCCCGCAACGAGCGCAACCCUUAUUGUUAGUUGCCAUCAUUUAGUUGGGCACUCUAGCAAGACUGCCGGUGACAAACCGGAGGAAGGUGGGGAUGACGUCAAAUCAUCAUGCCCCUUAUGACCUGGGCUACACACGUGCUACAAUGGGAAGUACAACGAGUCGCGAAGUCGCGAGGCUAAGCUAAUCUCUUAAAGCUUCUCUCAGUUCGGAUUGUAGGCUGCAACUCGCCUACAUGAAGCCGGAAUCGCUAGUAAUCGCGGAUCAGCACGCCGCGGUGAAUACGUUCCCGGGCCUUGUACACACCGCCCGAAAACAACCACGAGAGUUUGUAACACC
rnacentral:rRNA from 1 species